rnacentral:rRNA from 1 species
GAUGAACGCUGGCGGCGUGCCUAAUACAUGCAAGUCGAGCGAACAGACGAGUAGCUUGCUCCUCUGACGUUAGCGGCGGACGGGUGAGUAACACGUGGAUAACCUACCUAUAAGACUGGGAUAACUUCGUGAAACCGGAGCUAAUACCGGAUAAUAUCUUGAACCGCAUGGUUCAAUAGUGACAGACGGUUUUGCUGUCACUUAUAGCUGGAUCCGCGCCGCAUUAGCUAGUUGGUAAGGUAACGGCUUACCAAGGCAACGAUGCGUAGCCGACCUGAGAGGGUGAUCGGCCACACUGGAACUGAGACACGGUCCAGACUCCUACGGGAGGCAGCAGUAGGGAAUCUUCCGAAAUGGGCGAAAGCCUGACGGAGCAACGCAGCGUGAGUGAUGAAGGUCUUCGGAUCGUAAAACUCUGUUAUUAGGGAAGAACAAAUGUGUAAGUAACUAUGCACGUCUUGACGGUACCUAAUCAGAAAGCCACGGCUAACUACGUG